rnacentral:tRNA from 1 species
GCGGACGUGGUGAAAUGGUAGACACGCUGGUCUUAGAAGCCAGUGCCUUUGGUGUGUCGGUUCAAGUCCGACCGUCCGCA